ACCAAGGUCCGCUACGGAGUGCCGCAAGGGUCAGUGCUCGGACCGAUCCUCUUCACCCUGUACAUGAUUCCGCUGGGUAAAAUUAUGAGGAAGUACUCGAUUAAUUUCCACUGUUAUGCAGAUGACACCCAGCUAUACCUAUCCAUAAAGCCAGAGGAAGCAGGCCAGGUUGCCAGGUUAGAAACCUGCCUCAAAGAUAUAAAAUCCUGGAUGACCAAUAACUUUCUAAUGCUCAACUCAGACAAAACUGAAGUUCUGGUCCUCGGUCCUAAACACCUUAGAGAGGCAUUCUCUAGUAAUUUAGCUACAUUUGAUGGUAUCAGCCUGGCAUCCAGCCCCACUGUGCGAAAUCUAGGAGUUUUAUUUGAUCAGGAUUUAUCUUUUAGCUCCCACAUUCAACAAAUUUCCAGGACAGCCUUUUUCCACCUGCGCAAUAUCUCAAAAAUUAGACGCAUAUUGUCUCAGAGCGAUGCAGAAAAACUAGUCCAUGCCUUUGUUACCUCUAGGCUGGAUUACUGUAAUUCUCUCCUAUCAGGCUGCUCUAGUAAGUCAUUAAGGACUCUUCAGCUGGUCCAAAAUGCAGCAGCUCAGGUAUUGACUAGAACUAGAAGAAGGGAGCACAUCUCUCCUGUUUUAGCCUCUCUUCACUGGCUCCCUAUUAAAUAUAGAAUUGAGUUUAAAAUCCUCCUUGUGACAUAUAAAGCGCUUAAUGGCCAGGCUCCAUCAUAUCUCGACGAGCUAGUUAUACCGUACUUUCCAUCUAGACCGUUACGCUCACAGUCUGCAGGUCUGCUCGUUGUACCAAAUGUCUCUAAAAGUAGUAUUGGAGGAAGAGCUUUCAGCUACCAGGCACCUCUCCUCUGGAAUCAUUUACCGCUCGAGGUUCGGGGGGCAGACACACUCUCAACUUUGAAGAGUAGACUUAAAACGUUCCUCUUUGAUAAAGCCUAUAGUCAGGGCUGAUUUGAACCAGCUCUUAGUUAUGCUGCUAUAGGCCUAGACUGCCGGGGCUAUCUGGCACACUGAGCUAGAGUCUGUCUCUAUCUCCUCUUUAGAUCUUUAUGUCCCAUAUAAGUCACUGACCAGUUUUCUGUCUCUCUGAGUGUCUCUGAGUCUUUUAGCUGCCACUGGACUGAUGCUGCAAACGGUCUGCUGCGGAACUGCCUGACCCCA
rnacentral:lncRNA from 1 species